AGAUAAGGUGCUGAGUUACCUAGUGGCUGUGGCACUGGAACAUUAAGAGGACAAUGACAGAGUCAAGCGGAACAUCCUGGCCAUGGGCGAGAAGACGGGUAUGACCAGGAACCCCCAUUUCAGCCACGACAACUGGAUCCCGACCUUUUUCAGCACCCAGUAUUUCUGGUUCGUCUUGAAGGUCCGUUGGCAGCGACUAGAGGACACGACUGAGACAGGGGGUCUGGCCCCAAACUGCCCGGUGGUCCGCCUCUCAGGACAGAGGUGCAACAUUUGGGAGUUUAUGCAAGGUGCUCCUUCCUGCUCCCACCCAGUGACUGCUGCCAUCUCCUGACCCCAGAGUGGGCCUGGAUACAGAUAUGAGGAAGGUGGGGGUCAGGUGUCACAUUCCCCCAGUGUCGCAUGGCAGCUGUCCCCAUCCCAGGCUUGCAGUGCCAUAGUGCAAUUCGCCAAGUGACUGAGGGUGGGGGAAGCCUCUUGCCCACCCUUUCCCCCAUCAAGGUAAUAGGCCACUGGUGCUGAAUUUUGGAAGUUGUACCUGACCUUCAUUUAUGUUCAAAUUUGACCAAUUCAAGAGGCUUAUUGAAGACUUUAGUUCCAUAGCAGAUUUUCUCGUCAUUUACAUUGAAGAAGCACAUGCAUCAGAUGGCUGGGCUUUUAAGAACAACAUGGACAUCAGAAAUCACCAGAACCUUCAGGACCGCCUGCAGG
rnacentral:sRNA from 1 species